rnacentral:sRNA from 1 species
AAAGGAUAAAAGCUAGAUCCUUUGGACAAAUCCCAAAGUGAUCUAUUUAUAGUAAAAUGUUGAAAACCCUAGAUUCACUAGAAGACGAGAGACUUGAGGCGCUUUGGGCGAGUGCUCAAUCUUGGGGAUCGAGUAAAGAGGGUGCUGCAAAGUCUGCCUCUUUGUGUCCAUGCUCCGAGUGAUCAAUUGGUCGAGGAGAUGCUUCUUCCUCUCCUAUCCGUAUGCUCAGAUGUUUGGUUGAGUGGGGAAUGAGGAAGAUCUGAAGACGCUUUGAUAGAUCAACAAGUCUGGUAGAGUUGGUCGCCCUUGGUCUAGUAAAUGGGUUGAGUAGAGGAUCGAGUAGGAGGGGCGAGUAGAUUGAUCUGCUGCUUCUUCUGAGGCUGCCUUGAUCGAGUAAGUGGGUCGUGUGAAUUGCUGCCUCCUCUGUGGGUGCCUGGAUCGAGUGAACGGGUCGAGUAGAAUGCUCUGUUGCUUCCCUUCUGGUUGGAUAGAGUAGAGGGUCGAGUAGAAUCCUUGUAAGCUCCUUCUGUACCUGAAAACACACCAAAACAUGCAAUAUGUAUGCAAGAUGAUCCUAAAUGCCUAAGUGUGCAAAAUAAGCUAAAUGUGAUGCAAAAUGAUAUGAAACAAUGAGUGAUCACUAAGCUAAAUGAUGAUAAAUACAUGUCUAAAAUAAAUAAAAUACAGUGUUAUUGAGAGAGAUUUCAAAAAGAUUGAGGGAGAGUUGAGAUGUGAGGUUUGGGAGAAAUUAAAGGAAAAUUGAGAUUUGGGAGAAUAUUAAGAGAUAUUUAAGGGUUUUGUUUUCGAAAAAGAAGCGUAAAACUGAUUUGGCAAAAAGAAACAAUUGCCGCAUAAUUUUUUUGUUUUAGAGGGUAAAGUUUGGUGCCCGACGCUUUUCCAACGGAGAAACUUUUAUCCUCGCAAAUCCGUCGGAAAUACAAAAUACUUU